rnacentral:pre_miRNA from 1 species
UGGGGUUUUGAGGGGAUUCAUUGCGUCGAAAAAUAGAGAUCGGGCACCGUUUCGAAUCUCAACUCGUAAUGCCCCGCAAAAUCCCAAA